ACUAGCUGUUAGUUACCAAUUCUCUCUUUUAUUUUGUUUAUGUUUUUCUAUAUGUUUGUGUGAAUAUAGUGGUUUGAUCUGAAAGAUUUUUUGUCUUAUUUUGUGUUUGAUUUUUAGUAUCUAGCUUCUGUUAUGCUUCUACUUCUGGGGGUCUCUACUAUUGGAGUACCAAGCUUGCUGGCCCAACAUGGUCACCAUUUGCUUCAUGGAUAACUGGCUGGAGAAAAAUAUCUCUUUCUCCAUCAAUUGGAGGAGAAAAGGAUCCUUAAUUUUGAAGGCUUUGUGUUGGACAGCUGUAGAAUAUUUUGUGCUGAAAGUAGUAACUUUUCAAUAUGUUGAAUAUUUAAGACUACUUGAAUACUUAAAGAAUAUUUUGUUGUUGAUGACAGUGUUGAAUGUUUUAAACUAAUUUGUGGAUUGUUAAUACAAUGUUGAAUGUUUUUACUUUUUGUUA